ensembl:lncRNA
AGUACAUAUCAGAGUUCACUGUUACUGUAAUCUGAGGUGGCAGCAGUACAUAUCAGAGUUCACUGUUACUGUAAUCUGAGGUGGCAGCAGUACAUAUCAGAGUUCACUGUUACUGUAAUCUGAGGUGGCAGCAGUACAUAUCAGAGUUCACUGUUACUGUAAUCUGAGGUGGCAGCAGUACAUAUCAGAGUUCACUGUUACUGUAAUCUGAGGUGGCAGCAGUACAUAUCAGAGUUAUUGUAAUAAUCUCACAAGGAAGCGUUGCACAAUAAAUAACCAGACGACAAUCAUUUCUACUAGGUACCAGGUAGCUAGACCUCAUAGUGAAACAGAGAGAGGCAGUUUAAACUGGCAUUUAAGAAAAACUAAACAAUAGAUAUUAGGCGUUCAGUAAGGUGUCCUUAGUCCUGAUAAUGUUUGUACUAGUUAGUAUAAUUCUCAACAAAAGAAAAUGGCUUAUUGUUGUUCAUGAGCAUUUAUCUAAUCAACCACUAUUUCAGUGUUGUUUCACAUUGAGGUGGUCUUUUCGUGGUCUUUUGAUUGUGGGGAUGGUUCAUUUUCUGGUGUAGUGUAGCAUGGAGCGUCAUGCACCACAAUGCAGUCUAUUUAUACACUGAGGGGUUGUGUGUUACUGCAAAGCAUGCUGGGAUCAACAUGAAGAAAUACACUACCUUUUAGAAUCUAAGAAAUCAGACAUUACCCCCUCUCUCUCUCACUCUCCUCUCUCACUCUCACUCCCUCUCUCCCUCCCUCUCCUUCUCUCACGCUGUCCCUCUCUCUCCCUCGCUCACGCUGUCCCUCUCUCACGCUGUCCCUCGCUCUCACGCUGUCCCUCUCUCACGCUGUCCCUCGCUCUCACGCUGUCCCUCUUUUCUUCGCUCUCUCACGCUGUCCCUCCCUCGCUCCCUCUCCUUCUCUCACUCUGUCUCUCCCUCCCUCUCUCUCCCUUUCUCACGCUCUCUCGCUGUCCCUCUCUCUCCUUCGCUCUCUCCCUCUCACACUGUCCCUCUCUCUCACACUGUCCCUCUCUCACGCUGUCCCUCUCUCUCACGCUGUCCCUCUCUCACGCUGUCCCUCUCUCUCACGCUGUCCCUCUCUCACGCUGUCCCUCUCUCUCACGCUGUCCCUCUCUCACGCUGUCCCUCCCUCGCUCCCUCUCCUUCUCUCACUCUGUCUCUCCCUCCCUCUCUCUCCCUUUCUCACGCUCUCUCGCUGUCCCUCUCUCUCCUUCGCUCUUUCCCUCUCACACUGUCCCUCUCUCUCACACUGUCCCUCUCUCACGCUGUCCCUCUUUCUCACGCUGUCCCUCUCACGCUGGUCUCUCCCUCCUCUCUCUCCUUUCUCACCUUGUCCCUCUCUCUCCCUCUCUCUCGCUGUCCCUCUCUCUCACGCUGUCCCUCUCUCUCCCUCUCCACGCUGUCCCUCUCUCUCACACGGUCUCUCCCUCCCUCUCUCUCCCUUUCUCACACUGUCCCUCUCUCUCACGCUGUCCCGCUCUCUCCCUCUCACGCUGUCCCUCUCUCUCACGCUGUCUCUCUCCAUUUCUCACGCUGUCCCUCUCUCUCACGCUGUCCCUCCCUCUCUCACGCUGUCCCUCUCUC